UCCUCCAUAGCUCAGUGGUUAGAGCGCCAACCUGCACCUGGAAGGUUAUGGGUUCGAUUCCCGUUGGGGAGCUCAGAA
rnacentral:tRNA from 1 species